rnacentral:misc_RNA from 1 species
GACAUGGAACCCAAUCAAUAACAAGAAGUAUGAGACUUUGUCCUACCUUCCUGCACUUUCUGAUGAUUCAAUUGCAAGGGAGAUUGACUACAUGAUUAAAAAGGAAUGGAUCCCUUGCCUUGAAUUCGAUGAGGUGGGGCAUGUGCAUAGAGAGAAUAGCCGGAUGCCAGGAUACUAUGAUGGGAGAUAUUGGACAAUGUGGAAGCUCCCC